UCUGCCUUAUACUAAGGAAUAACACAAAGAAAUUUGUGCUAAAGCCUUAUAAGCUUACACUAUCUUAUGAUAGAGUAAGAAAAACUUUAGUGGUAUAAGAUGAGCCCGCGUCCGAUUAGCUAGUUGGUGGGAUAACAGCCUACCAAGGCUACGAUCGGUAACCGGCCUGAGAGGGUGACCGGUCACACUGGGACUGAGACACGGCCCAGACUCCUACGGGAGGCAGCAGUGGGGAAUAUUGCACAAUGGGGGAAACCCUGAUGCAGCAACGCCGCGUGAAGGAUGAAGGUUUUCGGAUCGUAAACUUCUAUCAGUAGGGAUGAAAAAAAUGACAGUACCUAACUAAGAAGCCCCGGCUAACUACGUGCCAGCAGCCGCGGUAAUACGUAGGGGGCAAGCGUUAUCCGGAUUUACUGGGUGUAAAGGGUGCGUAGGUGGUAUGGUAAGUUGGAUGUGAAAGCCCAAGGCUUAAAUUUGGGAUUGCAUCUAAAACUGCCAAGCUAAAGUGCAGGAGAGGAAAGUAAAAUUCCUAGUGGUACGGUGAAAUGCGUAAAUAUUAGGAGGAACACCAUUAGCGAAGGC
rnacentral:rRNA from 1 species